GUUAACUGUUCGUCCGAAGAGAGGUGCUGCUUUUAGCGCAUAGACUUAAUUAAAAAUCUAAAAUAUUAAACUAAUUUAAAGAAAGAAGAAAAAACGUUAAAACAAUUUACCAUAUAAAUACAAAACUAAUCCUGCUUAAAAGCGGAUCUUAAAUAAUAUUUUGUUUUAUUUGAAAUUAUAACGAAAGAGAAUAAAUAGAAAACAUAGAAAAAACGUGCCAUUAACGUAACGGAUUUUUUGCAACAAAUUCAAAUAUUUUAACGGAUUAAUUAUUGCAAAUUUUGAAAAUAAAAACGGAAUAAAAACUUAGCACAGUUAAAAAAAUUGUGUGUGCAUUUUAUUUAUGUUCAUCCAAAACUUCGGACGUUACGGUAUAAAUUAAGGAUCUUUAAAACUAUCUCCCUAUCUACUUUUUUUCACACACCCCCCUCUUAAAACCACAACACACAUACACACACAAUGGGACGACAACAUAGGCAUAGAUCAAAUUGGCUGGCGUUAUUUUGUUUAGUGUUAACCCUAAAA